GUGUUUGUUUGCCUAAAAAGGCCACUCAUGUGACUAACCCAGGGCAAAAGAAGGCUCACCUCUCCUGGACAAAUUAUUUGAAAACUAUUCAUCCAUGCACACCCAUUUUUAAAAUCCUGGACAAAACUUUUUUGGCCAGCUUCUGUUUUAAGGAGAAGGGAGCUGGUGCCAGAAAGAAGUUGAAAAUGUCACUCUCUCUGCCUUGUGGAAUUGGGACAAGUAUUGUUCUGGGAAGAAGUGAGAAAAAGCAUUGUACUGAGUUCUACUGCUCAGCUUCCUGAGGUUUUCAUCUGAGACGGCAGGAGGUAUAUGAAAGCAUAUUCCACUCAUGCCGGCCCACAAGUCGGACUCCAGAGGACUGGACAAUCCAGAGAAAGUUCUCCAUCCUUUGCUCACUGCCUUGUAAACUUGCCUUUCGACUCCAUACACUUACUAACUCUAAGGAGGCGAAUACCUUAUUAUCUCAGGAGGGAAGGCCAGGAUCCCCGCAGGAAAUUGUGGAGUCUUCUGUGUGCCUGCCUUCAGCCUGGAGCUUUGUAUUUGCUAUCUCAUUCCAUCCUGUCAGCAACACUAGGAGGAUAAGGGAUUGAGACACAGAAAUUAAAUGACAGGCCAAGCCUGCAGAGCUCAUAAAUGGCAGACGUGGGAUGUUCUCUUAUGCACUAGGCAAGGGAUGCUAUGGAAUCAGUUCCUAUCCCCAGAGAAUUGGCUACCUGGUGCAUAUGAAAAACCUACAAAGGAACAGGUCCCCAGCCAUCUUCUGUUGGGAAUUGUGCUUCUAGUUUACACUGCUGAUGCUUUCCUACAUUUUAAGAAGUUUUUUUCUUUAUCUCUAAGGAAGGUCUCCUGCAGCCUAGAGUGAAGAGAUGAACUCGUUCAGAUUUUUGUCAAGUGCUGCCCAUCAUGGCCCUUGUAACGUCAGAGGA